rnacentral:tRNA from 1 species
GUCGUGGUAGCCUAGCUUGGUCAAGGCGCAGGGUUGCUAACUCUGUGGCGUAAGCCUCCGGGGUUCAAAUCCCCGCCACGACG